CGGCAGGCCUAACACAUGCAAGUCGAACGGUAACAGGAAGAAGCUUGCUUCUUUGCUGACGAGUGGCGGACGGGUGAGUAAUGUCUGGGAAACUGCCUGAUGGAGGGGGAUAACUACUGGAAACGGUAGCUAAUACCGCAUAACGUCGCAAGACCAAAGAGGGGGACCUUCGGGCCUCUUGCCAUCGGAUGUGCCCAGAUGGGAUUAGCUAGUAGGUGGGGUAACGGCUCACCUAGGCGACGAUCCCUAGCUGGUCUGAGAGGAUGACCAGCCACACUGGAACUGAGACACGGUCCAGACUCCUACGGGAGGCAGCAGUGGGGAAUAUUGCACAAUGGGCGCAAGCCUGAUGCAGCCAUGCCGCGUGUAUGAAGAAGGCCUUCGGGUUGUAAAGUACUUUCAGCGGGGAGGAAGGGAGUAAAGUUAAUACCUUUGCUCAUUGACGUUACCCGCAGAAGAAGCACCGGCUAACUCCGUGCCAGCAGCCGCGGUAAUACGGAGGGUGCAAGCGUUAAUCGGAAUUACUGGGCGUAAAGCGCACGCAGGCGGUUUGUUAAGUCAGAUGUGAAAUCCCCGGGCUCAACCUGGGAACUGCAUCUGAUACUGGCAAGCUUGAGUCUCGUAGAGGGGGGUAGAAUUC
rnacentral:rRNA from 1 species